rnacentral:lncRNA from 1 species
GGCUCUCAAGAAGAGUCGUUCACGCCUGAGCCAGAAAGUCGUCGGUGCCAGGGAUCCCUGCUCCCCGGGUCGCCCUCCCGAGGAGACCUUCCUGACUCAAGGACUGAACCCAAGUCUCACGUCUUCCGCACUGGCACCAGCCAGUCACGGCAUGACCUGCAUCACCAGCUGACUCCUGCGCUGGUCACUGCACGGCCACUAGCACCACCUGGGAAGCCCCAGUAAGUGUAUUCUAUUUCAGUAAAAAAGAAAAAUAGGUACUUUAAUAUAUUUAACUUAUAUUUAAAUAUAUUUAAUAUAUUAGUUAACUGACUGGUAAUCUGCUCCACUGUGUGUAUAUGUGAGUGUGUUUGUAUUUUCAUUGCCAUUUUACAGAAGGGGAAACUCAGGCUCUGGAAAGGGAAGUGAUUCAGAGGCUGUUACGAGAAUUAACCAUAAAUAGCUAAUGUUUGUGGAGCCUAAACUGCUUGGUCUAGGGUAUCUUUCUGACAGUCCCAUGACUUUCAACUCAUUUUGUAGGCAAGAAAAACAGGCUUUGCUGAAG